rnacentral:lncRNA from 1 species
AGCCACAUUCCGUAUCCAUCUUUCACAUGUCCCUGUCACCAUGCCUCCCUCCACCCAGGUCUGAGAGGAACGGGUCAGCCACCAGAGUGGACAUCAUCUGCACCCAUCGCUCUGAGCCCACGGGCACCGGGCUGGACCGAGAGCUGCUCUACUGGGAGCUGAGCCGUGAGACUCGUGGCAUCACGCGGCUGGGCUUCUUCACCCUGGACAAGGACAGCCUUUAUGUCAACGGUUACACACACUGGGCCCUGACUCCUGUCCCCACGAGUGAGUACCUUGGGUCCUAGCACUGGUCUGCCUCAGAGCCCAUCCAUUCG